rnacentral:sRNA from 1 species
GUGCGGCCUAAAUUUUGAGGCGGCGUCUGGUUCCAAAAUGAUAACAAUGUUCUCUACAGGCGCAGCCAAGAUUUCCCUGGUGUUGGCGCAGUAUUCGCGCACCCCGGUUUAGC